UUCACAUGUUUUAUAAGCAAAGUUCAGCAAGGUAUAUAAAUGUAGAUAUGAUCCAGACACGCGCACGCUCACGACUGUCACUGCUCAUGCAUAGGCGCUCAGAAGUAAUUAAUGUUAAUAAGAUUUUAAUGUGCUUGUGAGAUCAUAAUGAGGAGAAAUGAAUGCUCUGAUUAGGAAAAGGUAACUGUGUGUGUGUUUUGGCUUAGAACAAGAUUUCAAUUUUUAUAAACCGCAAUUUUAGAACUUGUUUGUGAUUGCAUCAAUUGGUUUUUAUUUUCAAAUUAGAGGUCUGUUUAGCCAUUUGAAUGAUUAACCAAAUAAAUGGGUGAAACCCUGAUCAUAAGGAAUAGUGCAGGUUUUCAUUUGCAAGGCAAUGUUAGUAUACAGCAAGGCAGUGAUCAUGUUUUUUUUUACCAAUGUACCAUUUUUAUGUUUUUUUUAAACCUUUUUUCAGAAGCUACUUGUGGAGAUAGUUCUCAUUUUUAUAAAUGUAGAUGUUAUCUAUAUGUUCCAGAGACGCUAAUCAGACACUGUAAUUAUUGUGUCUGAAAUACAUUCCUGUCAGUCAGUAAUGGUGUGUUCAGUGUCCAAAGAAUCUAUAUUAUGCUUCUGAAAUGUUUAUUGGGGAAAACAUAAAACAACAUAGAUUUUUCUUCCUAAACAUAUUCUUUACAAAUUUUAGGGGCUUGACAUCUUUUACGGGGAAAGUAAAAUAUCUCAAAGUAAGCAAAGAUGCUGUCUCAUCAUGGACUCAAAUUCUGUGCAGUCAACUACACUAUAGACUGGCUUGAAUCCAGCUGGACACCAGGGGUCCUUCUCCACAACAAAUUUUUUGAAAAUAUUGUUUAUAGUGCUUUGCUAUACAUUUGCAUUAUAAUUUUUAGUUGUAGGAUAAACCUAAAUAUUAAAGGCGCUUGUAGCACAUAGUAUUUUUUAAUAUAAAUUGUAGAUUAAGAUAUUCAAGGAUUGUAAUCCCUUUUAUAAAUAAGCAUACUAAAAUGCAAGGAGAAAUCUUAGAUGUUAAUUGGGGCAUGGGGUGCUGUAGUUUUUCCAGCUUAAUUCUAUAGAUAUGAUUUAAAUAUCCUAGGUUUUGGUUAUAGUGCUAUAAUCCUUCUGCUGGGGUUUAAAAAUGGUGAUGAAAAGGUAAGAUGUUAGAGUUAGUUCUGCUGAACAAUGCUGCAGUUCUGUGAUUCCCAGAGGUGUGUUGGAUUUUGCUUUUCAUAGAAUCCAUGAAAAUGAAGAUUAUUUGACCAAGAGAGGCAUUUGUCUUUAAUAUUGUUUAGUUGACUUGGUUGGGUAUUAUGUCACUGAGGCAUAAUUAGGAAUUUUUUUCCCACUUGAAGUUUGUAAAGGAGUUCAUUUGUAUUCUUCCAUUAUUUUCAUGGUUUCCUGUUGUAAAAUUUCCUAUGCAAUUAUACAUACUUUUAGGUUUUCUCUUCUAUGUUAGUCUGUCUAUUCAUUUGUCAUUAUUGCAUUAUUUUAAUUUUAGAAGUUUUAAAACAUAUUUCAAUAUCUGAAGCGUUAGCCUCCCACCUCACCCCCACCAUUGCUCUUUUUUUUUUCCUUCAGAGUUUUUCUUAAUUUUCUUACUUGUUAUUCCAAAUUAACUUUGUAAUCAACUAGAAUACUUCAAGGGGAAAAAAUACUGAUGUUACUUUUAUAAGAAUUGUGAUAAAUUCAUGUAUCAGCAUGGGGACAAUUAUUAUCUUUAUGAGGUUGAGUCUUCUUGUCCAAGAACCUGCUCCCCCCACCACCAUUCGUUAAAUAACUUCUGUGUCUUUCAGAAGUGUUGUGCAAUUUUCCUUUCAGAGCUUUCAGACAUUUGCUACUAAGGUUGCUCCUUGGUGUUCUAUUCAUUCAUUUAUUUAAUUGCUUAUUUAUUCUUUUAUAUCCUUAUUAUCCUAAACAGUCUUUCUUCCAUAAUAUUUUCUGUCUGGUUUUUCAUUCUUGUGUAGCAAGGCUAUUUAUUUUGUACGUUAAUUUUGCAGACUCCUACUUUGCAAAAUUCUCUUAUGUUUGGGGUAGUCUGAGUGGGUUAGAGACCCCUUUCUAGCACAUUACUUGGUAUCUGUGAACUCAUGGGCAACUUAUUCUGAGCCAUUUUACUCUCCUGUAAAGUGCAGAUAAGAAAACCAAACUCCCAGAACUACAGAGACUAAAUGAGAUCAUAUAGUAACGACCUAAUAGUUUGCCCAGCAUGUAGUAGGGACUUAAUUAUGGAUAUCCAUUAAUAAUGUAAUGUGAUACGACUUUAUGUAAUAUUAUUAUUAUUAUUAUGUAUAUGUUACAUGUGAAUGUGUGUGUUUUUUUCCUGCUUUAUUGGGAUAUAGUUGAAUAUUAUUAUUAUUAAAGUAUGCUAUUGAAUUAUUGAAGGCUUAUUGUGCAAGUAUUUACUACAGUAAUGGAAUGGUAAAGAAAUGAAAAAUGGGAGUUCCUGUCGUGGUGCAGUGGUUAACGAAUCUGACUAGGAACCAUGAGGCUUUGGGUUCGAUCCCUGGCCUUGCUCAUGGGUUAAGGAUCCAGUGUUGCUGCAAGCUGCAGUGUAGGUUGCAGGUGUGGCUCACUCAGAUCCAAAUUUCCUGUGGCUGUGAGGUAGGUCUGCAGCUGCAGCUCCAAUUUGACCCAUAGCCUGGAAACUUCCGUAUGUUGCAGUUGCGGCUAUAAAAAGAAAAAAAAGAAAAA
rnacentral:lncRNA from 1 species